GAUGAACGCUGGCGGCGUGCCUAAUACAUGCAAGUCGAGCGAAGCGGGGACGGGUGAGUAACACGUGGAUAACCUCCUAUAAGACUGGGAUAACUUCGGGAAACCGGAGCUAAACCGGAUAAUUAUAGCUGGAUCCGUGCGGCAUUAGCUAGUUGGUAAGGUAACGGACUACCAAGGCAACGAUGCAUAGCCGACCUGAGAGGGUGGUCGGCCACACUGGAGCUGAGACACGGUCCAGACUCCUACGGGAGGCAGCAUGAGAGGAUGUUCCGCAAUGGGCGGAAGCCUGACGGAGCAACGCCGCGGGAGUGAUGAAGGUCUGCGGAUCGUAAAACUCUGUUAUUAGGGAAGCGGUACCUAAUCAGAAAGCCACGGCUAACUACGUGCCAGCCGCCGCGGUAAUUC
rnacentral:rRNA from 1 species